UGCCAGUCUUUGGUCUAGUGAAAUGUACAAAUUUACAAAUUUAUAUCAACUUUUGAAUGUGGUAUUUUGAGAUAAUCAGAAUCCGAAGUAAGGGAAAUCAUGCAUAUCCAAAUUCGUAUGCAUGUGGAGUCAAUUACUCACACUAACUGGUUCAAGUCGACGUGACCAUCAUCAGGAGCACCUAGGAGAGAUCAUCGUUCGUGUGAUAAGCAAUUACCUUCUGUUCUUUCCUCCUAGUGGUUCGAGUGUGCUCUCCACUGAUUUUAGAUCUCAGAAGUGUGUUUGCUUGGUUAGGAUGGCAAGAAGGAUAUGUGGGGUAGUUGGUGGAAUAACUUGUCGAGGAUACGCCGUGUGUAAUUCACCACUGUCCUGAGAAUCAUCCGCAGGAUAUCUUAUCACCAGAUAUAAUCUUCCACUGAGUGCAUACACCUGAAAUCGACUGUAUGGGUAUGGCCUGCGUGGCAACAAUUUGACGUCUAGGCGUGCACAGGUGACAGCAUGGCAGAUGAGCUGAGGAUGAAUCACGAGAAUGUACGUAACGCGGGUGACCUUGAGGCGUGGACGAGAUGACGCUCAAUAGAUGGCGCUUAGGGAGAAGAUGCUCCGCCGCUCAAUAGAUGGCGCUCAAAGAUCCUCAAGUCCCUGCCUCGCCUCCACGGCCUCAGGUGACUGGGCAGACUAACCUGUAAGUUCUGAGAGCACUUGCCGCCUCCUCCAAAUGUUCCUUUUUUCGCUUCUUUUUGUUUUUCCUUUUCUUUCUUUCUUUCUUUCU